GCGGGCGUGGUGUAGCCUGGUAUCACUUCAGCUUGCCAAGCUGAGAACUCGGAUUCAAAUUCCGGCGCCCGCACCA
rnacentral:tRNA from 3 species